AUGAAGUAAAAAAAAAAAAAGUUUAUCGAUCCCUUGGCUUCUUCUUAAAAAAGAUAUUAAGAAGUAGAGAUAAUCAAAUCAGCCAAAAAUUAGUUAUAAUUGGCAAAGGAAUAAGGAAAAAAAUCUUUGAGAUUUGCAAUUUAAUCACAGCAUCUCCAUAGCAACACUCAAGUCAUAUCUGAAAUGAAUAGGUGAUGGACGAAAAGCACAACCACAUAAUGUAAAAAAAAAAAAAAAAAAGACACAAAGGAGGAUUAAAUUGAACAAGAAAAAAAAGGAAGAAAAAAAGUUAUUUUGCUGCACAAAACUGAGUCAAAACAGCUCGGAAGCCUUUUUGUGAAGAAAACACACACGGUGUGCCAUGGCAACACAAAUCUUCCUUCUGUUGCUGUUUUUUUUUUUUUUUUCGACUGUCUGGCAAAUCCACCUCUUGUUUUCAAAGCACUUUUUUUUCCUCUCUCUCCCUCUCUUUCUAACAGGUGCAAAACCUCUCAACUCAGCACAUCAAAGGGGCUCGUGCACCUGCGAAUAAAUCACAGCGAAUGGACUGUCACACAAACAAGUCUUGCGGGAUACUGACGUUUACCGACACAAUGUUUCACCGUGAGAUCUUUGGAGAGUUUCUUGCCAGGCUGCAGCGGUUCUGAUCAUGAAGGCCCUCGUGCAUCAUUAAGAAAUGUUUCUGUCCCUGUGGCUUUAUUUAGGUUAUGUGUGUAAAACUCAGGGUCCACAGGUGUCUUAUGAUUCGAUGCAACAAAAUAAACAAUUUAAAAGGUGAAA